GCAGGCCGGGGGGAUGGAAAGCUGUCGCUGUGAAUCCCUCUUAGCGCAUGGGGAGCGAGGGGGGGGGCGGACGGAGGUUCGAUCCCCCGGCUGCAAUGAUCCCAUUAGAAGGAUUCUGGUCCCCUUCCUGAGCCACGUUUCUGGUAGACGCGUGUUCAUCCGGAGUCACUGCCAGGCAGAACAGGGAGUGACUCCAGAUUAACCUGGGGGCAGAUCAGAUCAGGGCGUGUCCCUGUGGGGAGGGGGUUUCAGUUGUUGCCAGAGGGGGGGAAAGUGACUCAGUUUCUCUCCAUCUCUUUCUCUGCUCAGGAUAUUGGGGUUGAGGUUCCUGGUUCAGAUGCUGCUGCUCCGAUUGUGGUUUGGGAGCCCAGGCUGAGCAGCUGCUGCUCCCCCAGCGGGAUCGGGGCUGGGGAGUGACCGUGAGUGAAGCUGCCUCUGUGCCCAAGGAUAACAAGCUUGUGGCUAGAGGGGAAGCGGUAGACAUGGUAUAUCCUGACUUGAGUAAUGCUUUUGAUACUGUCUUGCACGACCUUCUCCUAAACAAACUAGAGAAGUACAACUGAGACGGAACUACCAUUAGAGUCGAGAACAUCCAUCUGCGGGGAAAGAGCCGGGGGGGAACUGUGAUGUGACGUGACAGUCCUGUUCUGACACAUCCCCUUCUUGCCCUGACAGGCUGCAGUGUCACGUCCCAUCCUUCCAGGGAGCAGGGAAGGGAAAUGGCUGCCGUGGAGCCAGCUCAGGUAGGGAUUAUCGGGGAGUUGCUGGUGGGCUCCUGUUGGCGGGAGAAAGGCUGUAAAGACA